rnacentral:ribozyme from 1 species
GGUGGCCUGUUUGAGGCCACAGCAGAAGCAUUCAUGGUGCAGCCUGCCGUAUUCCAGUGAAUCUGCAAGUUCUGCU